GAUUAACGCUGGCGGCGUGCAUAACACAUGCAAGUCGAACGAUGAAACUUUAAUGAACCCUUCGGGGAGAAUUAAAGCGGAUUAGUGGCGAACGGGUGAGUAACGCGUGAGUAACCUGCCUUACACAAGGGGAUAGCCUUUGGAAACGAAGAAUAAUACCCUAUAAAACCAUAAAAGCACAUGCAAUUAUGGUCAAAGUGAUAGCGGUGUAAGAUGGACUUGCGUCUGAUUAGCUAGUUGGUGAGAUAAAAGCCCACCAAGGCAACGAUCAGUAGCCGGCUUGGGAGAGUGUACGGCCACAUUGGGACUGAGACACGGCCCCGACUCCUACGGGAGGCAGCAGUGGGGAAUUUUGCACAAUGGGGGAAACCCUGAUGCAGCGACGCCGCGUGAUUUAGAAGGCCUUCGGGUUGUAAAAAUCUUUUGUAUAGGAAGAAAAUGACAGUACUAUACGAAUAAGGUCCGGCUAAUUACGUG
rnacentral:rRNA from 1 species